rnacentral:rRNA from 1 species
AUUGAACGCUGGCGGCAGGCCUAACACAUGCAAGUCGAACGGUAACAGGAAACAGCUUGCUGUUUCGCUGACGAGUGGCGGACGGGUGAGUAAUGUCUGGGAAACUGCCUGAUGGAGGGGGAUAACUACUGGAAACGGUAGCUAAUACCGCAUAACGUCGCAAGACCAAAGAGGGGGACCCUCGGGCCUCUUGCCAUCGGAUGUGCCCAGAUGGGAUUAGCUUGUUGGUGGGGUAACGGCUCACCAAGGCGACGAUCCCUAGCUGGUCUGAGAGGAUGACCAGCCACACUGGAACUGAGACACGGUCCAGACUCCUACGGGAGGCAGCAGUCGGGAAUAUUGCACAAUGGGCGCAAGCCUGAUGCAGCCAUGCCGCGUGUAUGAAGAAGGCCUUCGGGUUGUAAAGUACUUUCAGCGGGGAGGAAGGGAGUAAAGUUAAUACCUUUGCUCAUUGACGUUACCCGCAGAAGAAGCACCGGCUAACUCCGUG